rnacentral:rRNA from 1 species
GCUCAGGAUGAACGCUAGCGGCGUGCUUUAUGCAUGCAAGUCGAACGGUCUCGAUUUAUCGAGAUAGUGGCAAACGGGUGAGUAACGCGUAAGUAACCUGCCCUUAAGUAGGGGAUAACUCCGAGAAAUUGGAGCUAAUACCGCAUGUGGUGGUGGAGGUAAGGCUCCAUCACUAAAGCCUUCGGGCGCUUAAGGAGGGGCUUGCGUCCGAUUAGCUAGUUGGUAGAGUAACGGUCUACCAAGGCGAUGAUCGGUAGCUGGUUUGAGAGGACGGCCAGCCACAUUGGGACUGAGACACGGCCCAGACUCCUACGGGAGGCAGCAGCAAGGAAUUUUGUGCAAUGGGCGAAAGCCUGACACAGCGACGCCGCGUGGGGGAUGAAGGCCUUCGGGUUGUAAACCCCUUUUAUCAGGGAAGAAUAAUGACGGUACCUGGGGAAUAAGUCUUGGCUAACUACGUGCCAGCAGCCGCGGUAAUACGUAGAAGGCAAGCGUUAUCCGGAUUUAUUGGGCGUAAAGAGGGUGUAGGCGGUUCUUCAAGUCGGAUGUAAAAUCUCCCGGCUCAACUGGGAGGGAUCAUUCGAUACUGUUGGGCUAGAGUGCAGCAGGGGGAGAUGGAAUUCCCGGUGUAGUGGUGAUAUGCGUAGAUAUCGGGAGGAACACCUGUGGCGAAGGCGGUCUUCUGGGCUGUUACCGACGCUGAGACCCGAAGGCGUGGGGAGCGAACAGGAUUAGAUACCCUGGUAGUCCACGCAGUAAACGAUGGACACUAGGUAUAGGGAGUAUCGACCCUCUCUGUGCCGAAGUUAAGCAUUAAGUGUCCCGCCUGGGGAGUACGGUCGCAAGGACUAAAACUACAAAGAAU